CCUACGGGGCGCAUCAGUGAGUAAUAUUUUUCAAUUUGCGCUCUCCUGAACCAGCCAAGUCGCGUGAAGGAUGACGGCCCUACGGGUUGUAAACUUCUUUUGUCAGGGAGCAAUUGGGUCCACGUGUGGGCUUAGCGAGAGUACCUGAAGAAAAAGCAUCGGCUAACUCCGUGCCAGCAGCCGCGGUAAUACGGAGGAUGCGAGCGUUAUCCGGAUUUAUUGGGUUUAAAGGGUGCGUAGGCGGAAUAUCAAGUCAGCGGUAAAAAUUCGGGGCUCAACCCCGUCGUGCCGUUGAAACUGAUGUU
rnacentral:rRNA from 1 species